CUGGGGUGCGGGAGGAGGUGGGAGGGUGAGGCUGUGGCCAGCAGGAGCCAGGCCUCAGGGUGCCAGCCUGGACCAGGAGCAUGUGCUGGGGGCUUGCUUUCCGCAAUCAGGCACUUUUUCAAGUUGGUCCUGAACGGUUCUGGACUGGAUGGCAGGCUGCUGUGUGUGAUUGAGAAUGUUGCCUGUCUGAGCCCUGAGAUGAGCUGAGGGUUCCUCCUCCCCAGCCAGCACCAGCCUCACACAGCCCUUGUAAAUCUGAAAGUGCUGUUGGUAGCAACCAGGGAUGGGCAGAGGCAGCCCUGUCCUGAGGGUGACAUGAAAGUGAGAGCAAGCUGAAGCUCCAGUUGGCUUAGUCUUCAAAAGUGUCACUUUCAGAUUAUAUCCCUCAGCUUUAAAAUAUCCUUCUUUGAAGUCCAUCCUGCUCUGCCCACUAUUUGUCCCCGGUGGUCACUUCCUCCUCUGUGCUCCCGUGGCCUGGGAUUCACACCAGGAAAGAACGCCACGAAGAAGGAAUGACAAGAAAAUGGAGGCAAAGAACAUUGGAGUCACUCCCUGGCUACACACACUGAGGUGAUAACCAAGGUGCUCAAAAAGGGCCGGUGUGCCGCAGUGAGUGCCAGUUUGAAUGAAGGAAGCAUGCGUGGCCUGAAGCCUCACCGUGUUCCAGGCGUCCAGUUAAGUGCUCUGCACAUAAUAUCACACAUUGCGCUCCACGAUAAGAACAAAUUCUCACAUGGGAACCGAGCAAAGUGUAAUGGAUGUUCCCAGGAGCUGCCUAUGGGAUUCAAGAAAACUGUAUGAGAGGAGUAACAUUUGGGCUGGAAGCGAAAAUACAAGUAAACAUAUGUCAAAUGGGCUUGCCAGGAAACUGCUACAAUUUUCAAGAGCGCCUUUGAAAGCUCCCACCAACUGCCGCAGUCUGCAUCAGCCAGGCAUGUGUACCCACACAGCCCGCCCAGCACCCUGUGUGAAGCCCAUCUCCACUUCCAGGUCUGGCUGUGUCCAGCUCUAGAGAGCUGUGGAGUCAGCGCCACUUCUGCUUCAAGAUCCAUGAUGAGUGCCAUCUCUGGACAUCCCUCAAGCCUUCAGUCUGUAGACCCUGCAGAGAGAACUUGCAGAUAUUGUAAUGUCUGUGUUCCUACACUUCAAAUGUGAGCUUGUGGGGUGUCAUCUUGGAGAUUUUCGUGUUGGAAAUCUUCCACUCAAACACAUGUGCUUCAGGAGAAACACGAAGUGUGAAAAUGUUAAGUUCCAAGAAAGCACAGACGUGCGUCUAAUGAAUAGAUUUGGAAAUGAUGGGUAGACACGGACAAGGAUCUCAUCUACUGCAUUUGCUAAAUAAUCAGACCUGAUCUUAACAUUUUAGCUCGUUCUACUCGUGGUUGUCCAUGUGGCAAGGAGUCAUGAAGUAAUAACAUAUCCUCUGUAGUCGGUGCCUAUGAAGGGGUGACAGACAUCUGCAUGUACAGGAUAUGCUGUGAAUUUAAUGAGUUUUGUCUUGUGUCCUAUAUUGACUUUAUCAGGAAGCCCUAAAUGUCCCAGACUCAGCCUUUACCAAUACAUUACAACAACUGGCACAUAGAGCUAUUUUUCUGCCACGGUAAUUGGUGCUUCAGUCAUUAACCUAGCUGACAAUCAUACCUCUACACACAAAAAUCUGGACAACCUCUUCUGGUCUUUCCCAUAGGGUCAGCUGAGGGAAGACCAAAAGAGGGGACUGAGAAGAAUUAAAAGUACAUCUUUUCACCCUCAAGAAAGGAAAAGAUCACUCUCUGGCCUGAGUCCCAAGGAGUGAACAAGUGCCCAGCGUUAAUGAGAGAUAACUUCGCAUCAGUGCACAUGCUCUGAAAAUCAGCCAAUCCCUGAUAGCCUCACUUGUGUUGUGCUUCUGAAAAGGAGCCAGUCAGCAACAGCCUCGCUCCAGUAACUACGCUUCUGAAGAUCAGCCAACCGAUGACAGCUCCAGCUCCUGAAAGUCAGCCUGUCAGUGACAGCCCCUCACUUACAGACAACAGCCAAUCUGCCGGUCUUCACCCCGGUGACAGUGCUUCUGAAAGUCAGCUAACUCCAGUGACCAGGGGCACAGCUGACGUGCUGAGUCCCCCACACUCUCACCUCUGGAACCCACCAGCCUCUCCAGGAUGGGCUUCUUCAAACCUCAUCCAAGAUCAGCUCAGGCUUGAUUUGGGAGAGACCGUUCCUCCCUUACAAUUUCAACUCUUCCUUGGAGGAAAAUGAGAAGUUUUCCUCCAUAACAGAUAUUGAGUGUAAUUCAUCAUUAGCUUACAUAUUUGCAACCAUUGUGACAGUUCAUUCAGCCCCUAUUCACAGUUCAGACUUGCCAAAGAUGGACAUUAAGAUGCUCAAAUUUAAUCUUUUCCAUUUUUGUGACGGUUGCUAUUAUCCAUUUUUAUUUGUGUACUUUUGAGUGCCCAAAAUGUUAAAAGGCAAAUGUGAAUAUCACGAUAAAUUUUAUGAGCAGUAGACAUUUACCAAACAAGUGUAUGUCUUUUUGAAGCUCUUUGUGUAGUAUGCAAUUGUGCAUUCAAUACGAAAAAUGGUGGAAAGUAAGAUAUAAGUCAGCAAAUACUAAUAGCUAAGCAUGGGAGAUGCAUGAUAUCCUUUAUCAGUGCCAUAGAAAAUAAUAAUACAUUUUUUUGUGUAAGAGAAAUUCAAAUGAAACUGAUAUAUGAGUGGCAGCAGAUCUUGUGAUGGCCUUCCACAUUGUCUGUCAGUCAUCCAUCUUUCAGCUUAAACCACUCUGUGUCCUUCUACCAUUCAGAAGCACUGUCUAAUUCCAAAUUUGCAAAUUUGCAAAUAAAUUUUUUAAGUGCCAGGUGAAAAUUUACUUGCAUAAUUUAAAAAUGUAAUAGUUCCACUAACUAUUAUAGAGAUUAUCAAAGAUAUAAAUGCCCCACCUUUUAUGGCAACUGCAGGUACAAGUAAUCAAAACGCAGAUCAAAUUUCCCUUUGCUUUUGUAAUAUUUUUUUUCUCAUGUGAAGACCCUUCCAAAGGCGAUUUCAGAAACAAAAGCAAAUUUUAGGAAACUCAUAUGUAGGGUUGAAGAAGAUGAUAAAAUCUGAUGACAACAUGGUUUGUUUGUUUGUUUGUUUGCUUGUUUGUUUUGGCCAGAAAAUAAUAUUUCAAGAAGCUGAUCAGGAAAUUCAAUAUAAUCCUGAAGUGUGGAAAAAAUAAGUUAUACCAUGAAACAUGGUUUGUACUUGAACAAAUCAAAUUUGAAGAGCAAUUCUCAGAGUGCCAAUGUUUAGUCAAUAAACUUGUCUGUAAUGCUAAUAUUGAGCAUAAUUUUCAAUUAACAAAGAACAGAAUAAGUUAGAUGUGCAGAAGCUAUGUUUUGAGGUAAAGAAACAGAGACUUUAACUGUAAGGAAUUGUGUAAGGAAGUUCUGUAAAGCAAGGAACUAUUAAGAAGAGCCAAAUCACAUGUAAUAAAUAUAGUUAAACAAGUAUAAAACAUAAUUAUUUCAGAUUAGCCACAAUUAAUGUUUUAGUAGUCAUAUGUCUCAUGCAACAGUUUCUUUUAUUUCAGUGUACAUAUGUACAGGCAAUUAGAAAUAACUCAAAUUUAACUGGGUGUUCUAUAUUUUUAUUUGCUAACUCUGGCAACUCUACCUCACUGAUACUUAAGGCCUAUAAAUGUUACUGAUAUAAAGGACAAGUUAUCUGAUUUCUUUUCUCUAUUAGCCAUGAAAGAACAUGUCAUACUGCUUCUGACAACCCAAUUCAGUGCAAAACAUGCACUUUAAUGGCUAGAGAAGUGGAGAGGAGGGAUGGUUGAUUCUUUUGAAUUCUAAGCUUUCCUGGUAAUGAACGAGUUGACUGGGAGGAAGUUAGUUCUCCUUUCCAAGUUUAGAAAUACUACAGUGAAAACAACGUAUUUUUAAUACUUCACUGCUUAAAACAACAACCACAAAAAAUGGCUGUCUGAGCUGUAUGGGAAAAGGAAGGAAAGAAGGAAGGAAGGAAGGAAGGAAGGGAGGGAGGGAAGGAGGGAGAGAAGAGAGGGAAAAGAGGCAGCAAAGCUCUGCCUUCUCAGAUCUCAUAUCAAGUUUUUUGUUUGUGUCUUUCUUUUAUGUUAUUAAUUUCAAAUACGUAAAGUUACUUAAACUGACAUAAGAAACCAUACUCUAGUAGAUGUAACCAGGUUAAUAAUUAAAUCAGAGUAAUUUUAGUAAAAUACAUCAUUUUUAGUUAUGAGUAUUGAAAUGCACUUCAAGCUGCCCAUUAAAAUAUAAUAUGCUCUUAUAGGAUUUCAAAUGUUUUUCAAUCAAUAUAGUUCUAAUAAGUGGGUCUGAAACAAUUGUAAAUUUCAGCCAGCCCACUUUAAUAUUGGUUCUGGUAUCAUACUUUCUUACAUAGAGAAGUCCCAACUGAUGAUUCUAAAAUCAUAGACUAUAUUUUAUCUUUGGUACCAAUAAGCAUUUUUUCUUGCCAUAUGAAUAUAUUCAUUAUCUGAUAAUGAUGCUAAUUUUUGUUUUUAUUUGUUGUGGAGGAAUGUCAAAUUAAUGAACCGGUUACCCUUCUCAAAGACUCUCAACACAUGUUCCUUACAAUUGUCAAAGUCAGAAAAGGUUCUUUAGAUGUCACAUGCAAACACUUCCUAGAUUUCUUUUGUGUAUGUGAGAUUAUCCCCUUGCUUUAACCUGCCCGUCAUCUUUGAUGACAUUGAGCAUGAGCUGUUUUCCCUGGAUAGAGUAGUUUUCUGUUUAUCUUGUAGAGCUUAGGUCUCUAUUGGGACCACUAAGGACUUAUAAUGGCCUGGCUUUCAGGCACAGAGGGACAGACUAAAACAUAAUUCUGUCAGAUAAAAACAAAUCCGCAUUUAGGUAAGAAAAGAUAUUUUUCAGAAGGAUUUUUGCAAUAAGCGGGGAAGAGACUACUGCUGUAGAGAGAAUGCUCCAACCAUAAUAUCUACAAGUCAGAAAUGAAUUUUCUUUUAUAGCGGGAUGUAAGUAAGGCUAGAAAGAAACAGGUACAGGGGAUAGGUGUGAGCAGGUGGCGUGGUGGUUCCAGCGCUUGGGGAUGGACCAAAUUUAGGGUCCUGUAGGGGAGGAGGGAAGCUUAAAUAGUUUGAUUAAGGCAAGUUAGCAGGUGUCUUGUCCAGAUUGGUCAAUGGGUACAAAUAAUUCAGUUAAUCAUUUAUGGGGCAAUGAAUGGAAUUUGGAGGGUCUAUGUCUGGCUGUGUCAUAAGCAAAUAAAUAGGCACCUAUGAGUCUUCUCUAAGUCACAGGAGGAGAAGUGCUUCUUUGCAAAAAGCCUUUCCCAGAAGACAAAACGUGAGGAGAUUUCUUUACUCUUUCCUGUUUUCUAGUAUCACAGGGCUUGGGUAAAUCGUCAAUCUCAUCUUGCAGUAAAAUAACUAAGUAAUAAUUAACCAACUAAUCUAUACAUCCAUGUGAGCUAGAAUGCAGAAAUAUAAUGUACUUCCUGUAAAAAUGAAGCUAAGCUAUUUCAUGUCCAAGCCUUAGCAUACUGACUUGCAGUAAGCUCUAACCUCACUCCCUGGCCCUCCAAGCACACUCUGCACUCUGGCUACAUGGACACAAUCAUAAGACCUUUCUCUACCUCAGGAUUUGUCUUCAUCCUGUUCUCCAUGAACAGCCCUCUCCUAUUUCUCUGACUAUCCAAAUUCCACCCAUUCUUCAAUAUCCAGCUCAAAUGCCACUUUUCCCCCUAAAUUUUCUUGGUAGCUCAUUUUCUCCCUCCUUCCUCAAUCAGACCAUCUAGCACACUUUUGUAUUGAGCACCUACCAUGUAGAGGGGCCAAUGCUAGUUGGGCUUUCUUUUUAUGCUCAUUGUUUUACUCGUCAUUUGAGUAUUACUCACAGUUCAUGGUUUAUGAUUCAACUUUUGUUGUCACAUAACCAGUGGCAUGCUGGUUAAUGUUUAGUAAUAGCCUCUGUGGGGCGUGUGUGUGUGUGUGUGUGUGUGUGUGUGUGUGUGUGUGUGUGUCUUCUGAUUUGUAGCAUUUUCUAAUUUCAGUGGUGUAAGCUACUCUAAAUUUGGAAAGGAAUACGUAGAAUUGGUUCUCAGGAGCCUGUAUGAGCCAGCCCCAGCAUACCACUAUACUUGACUGUGUAAACGAUGUUUAAAUAAGAAUGUGAAUGCCUUGUUUACCUCACCAGAUGACAAGACUCUGUAGGACAGGUAGUAGUUUACCAACUAACAAUAGUAAUAAGGACACUACUAUUUACUGCAUGGAUAUUCAUUGAGUAAAUGAAUGAAAAAAUAAGUGAAUUGAAACAUGUUCAAUAUAAUGUAUAAUUGAUCAUGUUUUCCCCAGUGGCUUGCUGAGAGUCUUGCAUUCCAUAGGUACUGAAGAAUAUCUGCUCAUUUGCUGAAUGAGGCACUGCUUUUAUGGGGUUAAUUUCUGUUCACUGGCUUUAGGCUUCAUCAUGAAAUACAUAUGUAGCAUGAUUCUGUUAAAGCAGAUAGGUAGCAUCUGGAUCCACUCCCUUGCCCUUCCGUCUUUCUUGUAGAGGCUACCUGUGUUUGAUGUCCUCCAUUUUAGCCACUUGCUUCAGGAGAGUGCCCAGUCUCAUGUGUGUCGUGAUUGGUUCAAGCCCAUCACAGUAAAUGUUUUGCCCUCACUGCUGAUUGAUUGGCUGAGGCAUGCCCAUAUGCUGGCAAUAUGGCCAAUGACACUGACAGAAUGCAAGCCAGGGGGCUUGUGGGAAUUUUCUCUCAUUUCUCUCAUUUAAAAAUUGAAGUCAAGGAGAGAAUUUGCCUCCUCUGACUUUAUUUGCUGUAUAGGGAUGUGUGCUGCAGGGGUCCGUCCUGUGAUCACAAAGGAAGGGAGCUUGAGGACAAAAAUCAGCACAUUAAGUAUGGGGAGCAGACAGGAGGAAUGAACCUGAGUUCUUGGCAAUGCAGUUGAGCAGGAGAAUGGACUAGCCAAGGAAUUCUCCUGUCCCUGAGUAUCUUAUGCAGAUAAUGAAUGCUUUUAUUGCUCAAGUCACUUUUACCUACAAUGUAUCCUGGACAUAUUAGUAUUGCUAUGAUGAUGAUGAUGAUGAUGAUGAUGAUGAACACCAUUGUUAUUAUUUUGUUAAAAGCUGGCCUUGUUGCCUUAUUAGGAGCAAGGAAUGCAGACAGAUGCUUGAGUAGGUGAGAGCUGGUAGUGCAUCCUCAACAUGGUUUACAAGUGAGGUGGGAGUAUUACUGACUGAUAGUUGGAUUUGAAAUGGACUGUCUCAGCAUUGUAGAAUGGAGUCCUAAGUGCAGAAUCUUCAGGGCUGUAUUUGACAUUUUUAACUAAGCAGUCUGAUUAAGAGAGAGAGCAGAUAUGCAGAUAUGCAAACAGGAAGGCAGAGCUGCCCCUUAUAAAAUUCUGCCCUGGUGAUAUCAAGUCCAGAGCAAUUUGAGAAACAGAUGAAGAACACAAUCGUAAGAUAUCUAGUAAGUCUGCUCUUGGAGGGUUAUGCACCAGAAGGUAAGAUAUAUUCCACUAGUGUAAUGCCAAGUGUAAGAAUAUUUCUGUACCCAAAUCAGCAUGCCCACUGUAUUACUCAGAAUUCUCUAGAGGGACAGAACUAAUAGGAUAGGUAGAUAGACAGAUAGAUAGAUAGAUAGAUAGAUAGAUAGAUAGAUAGAUAACAGAUAGAUAGAUAGAUAGAUAGAUAGAUAGAUAGAUAGAUAGAGCAUAAUAAGUAUUAACUCACAAGAUCCCACAAUAGGCCAUCUGCAAGCUGAAGAGCAAGGAGAGCCAGUCCGAGUCCCAAAACUGAAGAACCUGGAGUCCGAUGUUCAAGAGCAGGAAGCAUCCAGCAGGGGAGAAUGAUGUAGGCUAGGGCCACAAACCCCCUAACUGUCACCAGAAUUGGUGGGUGGAGAAGUAGUAAGGACUUCUUUUGCACAGUCAAAUCAUGGAUAUAGGAACAGAGACUCAAAUCAUCCAUCCUUUGUAAAGUCACCUUGCAUUUCUGUCCCACCAUUUCAAGCACAGAUUUAGCACCAUCAUUUGUGGCAGCUUCUGGUUUCUAGAUCAGUAUUGUAAAAUUACAGGUUAUCCAGGAACGUAAAAGAUAUAUUUUUUAAAAGUUGUAAAAGAGCUUACCACUCCUAUUUAAAGUCAAUUAACUUUAUCUAGAGAUCUUUAUGAGCCAGACCAGGAACAAUUAGGAAAUGAAAGAUUUAAAUAAGAUGAAGGUAGUUGUUCAUUCCUGCUCAUAUCUUCCAAAUAUUUCAGCAUUUCUGGGAUUGUUUUUAAAAGAAAUUUUUUUGAGAGUUGGUUUUUAGGGGAAUGUUUUAAACAUUGCUUCUCAUGUUAUCAUUCUCCUGAUGCAGUCUGCCAGGAUGUUCCAUUCAGCUGCCACAAUCUGCUCAUCCCUGUCUUAUAAAGGAAAACUAUUCUCAAAUGAAAAUCUCUCUCUCUUUUUUGCACCAGUAUAUUUCACAAAAGAAUAAAGGUGUCAAAUUUCAGAAUUUUUAAAAAUUUUAAAAUAUGGGCAUUUCCUGAAACCUGUCUUUAGAUGAUCACAUUCAAGGUGUUCACUUACGUAUUUGCUACUCUUUCUUGGGUAUCACUGAGCUUCACCAUAUACUGUUUAUUAAUUCUGUGUAUUAAUUAUUUAGAGAUACAGGGCAUUCACUGAAUGCCUAGCAAAGGUAAUAUCUAAAUACCAGGAGCUGAGAUCUACAGAACAUAUAUUCCCUGUCUCAUAUAACUCAGGGUCAAGCGGGAAAAUAUGUAUUUUGUUUAUUCUCAUCAGAAAAUGAGUCCAGUGAGACAGAAAUUCAGAAGAGCAGUUUAGCACCAGAGCAUGCAAAAACACAACCUUCUCCCACCUCAAUGCUCGCCAAGACUAAGCAAAAGGGGUUUUUGAAACAUAUAUGGAUUUGAACCCUUCUGCAACUUAUUAGGCAGCCACAUCCUUAUAGUCACGUAUUUGAUUUCUUGCAGCCCAGGAUUCUGCAACCGUAAUUUAGCCACCUUGCUGUAUUGUUAUAAGAGAUAAGAGAGACGUCACACAGCAGUUACCAUCUUAGGUGAUCAAUACAUAUCAGUGGCCUUUCUCUUCCCAUCUUCUCCGAGAACUCCAAGCCUGUCUCUGUAUGCUAUUUUAUCCUUUUCAUACUUCUAAUUUGGCCUAUCAGUACAAUAAUUUUGUCAUGGUAUUAAGUGGGUAAAUAACUUCAAAAUAUUGAUAAUCAAAAUGGGGAGCAAGAAAUAUAUCAAUGGAAUAUUUAAGCAAUUCAAUAGGGUAUAAUUUAAUGUCAGUGUGCAUUCAUAUGACUAAAAGAACUGUAGGAUGCCGUGUUUUUUCUACCAUUAGCAAGUUUUGAUCUUCUUGAGAACAGAGUACAGGCACAGGAGAUGUCUCCACCCAUGAAAAUAUCUUCAUUUAUUCAUUUGUCCAUUCAACACACACUCACAGAAAGCUUAUUUUGAUAUAUUUAAAAAUAUGUUAUGAAACUUUACUGGUCUAGAUAUAUUUGAUAAGUGCUUGAAAAGAGAAGGAGCAGUGAAUCCUCCCAUUCCCCCUUUGAGAGGGAGGUGCUAGAUUUAUCCUUCUUGAGCUAAAUCCCUCCACCUCCCCUUAAAGAGGAAGGUGCUAGAUUUAUCCUUGUUGGGCCAAAUACACCAGGGCUCAGCUGGCACAGCUGCUGCACCCUCCACUCCAUGUAGUCUGAGCAGGGAGAAGCUGAUGGAUAUUGAAGAGGCAGAACGUGGUAGCCUUGGCUGUGAUAUGGAGCUUCCCCUGGGCUAUGCGGAUGCUGAAGAAAGUAGCCAAACUUGGGAUGCUUUGACGAGACCAAGACCAAGAGAGCAGCCAGCAUCACAAGGCUGUGGGGUGGAGUUGCAGGUGCAGGAGCUGGCAAUGAGAGGGAGGGCACCAAAAGGGGGUUGACAAGCUCACCAUGUGUUUCUGGGAAGCAUGUAGUAUUCAUGUUGCCCAUGGCUUCUGAAAAACUUGUACAUCUGCCUCCAAGUAAAACUCCAGUAUUGGAAUGUCAGUCACAAGAAGGACUUCAGUGAACAUCUCAUAACAAAAGCAAUCCAGUUAAGACUUCUGUAUGUUUUCUUAGGUCAUCUUCUACUUUACUCUGUCCUGUGUGGUGUUAGUCUCAGGAGUAAGAGCAGGUAACUAAACCAGACAAGAACAUGAAUAUCACAGCACUAUUCACAAUAGCAAGGACAUGGAAUCAAUCUAGAUGCUCAUCAAUGGUGGACUGGAUAAAGAAAAUAUGGUACAAAUACACCAUGGAACACUAUGCAGCCACGAAAGAGAAUAUCAUGCCCUUUGCAGCAACAUGGAUGGAGCCGGAGGACAUUAUUCUAAGUGAACUAAUGAGGAAAGAGAAAAUUAAAUUGCCAUGUGAUCUCACUUAUAUGUGGGAGCUGUACAUUGAGCACCCGUGGAAGGAAAUGACAGACACCAGGACCUAAUUAAGGAUGGAAGUUGGGAAGAGAGUGAGGAUAGAAAAACUACCAUCAGGUACCAUGCUUAUUACCUGGGUGAUGAAAUAAUCUGUACACCCAACCCCCACAGCACGUAAUUUAUCUGUAGAACACAUUCUGCACAUUUACCCCUGGAAUUAAAAUAAAAGUUAAAAAAAAAAAAAGAAAAAAAAGAGCAGACCAAAUCCCCUUCUGCACUGAAGGCCCUCUAGCUAUGGGUCGGGCCUGAACUGGGAAUGGGGUGAAAAUUUGAAUCAGGUGAAAUGGACUUUUCUAAGCCUUAAAGUAAGUCCUAAUUACCAAAUUAGAAGAUCAUAGAAGAGACUGGCCAGAAGAUAGUGUAAACAUGAACAGGAAGGGUACUGCUCCAAAGCGUGUUUGAAAGCAGUAAUUGGAGGAAAAAUAAAGCUCUUUUCCUAUUGCACCCAACCAAGUUCCAGCCCCCUCCAUACACUGCUUAGACAGCAGUGAACUCUGAACAUUCAUCACAUGGGGCCCGAUCUGCAGAUGCUACUGGAUGGGGCCUGAUCAAGAGUAAGAAAAGUCAUGCUCCCAACUCAGUUCACACUUUCACUACCUGUAUAGUCCUGGACCAGUCUUUGAAAAUCUCUGACUGGAAUGCAAAGCUCAUCGCUUUCUUCAAAGAUAAUCAGACUUGUAUUAUUUUUCUACUUUACUUUAGCCCAGACUUGAACUCGCACAAAUUGAGUAAUGAGAGCCUACUUAAUUGAAUAUACACUUAUUAUUAAAAAGAUGAAGAGAAUAGGAAAAACCAACCGUACCUCCUCGCUCCUUCCAUUCACUAUACUCAUGGAGCCUUAGAUGCCUCUUGAAGGUGCUUUGGGGGCUAUGAACUGAUAUCUGUAAUUCAAGGGACCCAUUCCCUCCAGGUAGUGACCAUAAAUAUGGAUCCAUUAAUACUCAUUGAUGUGCAAGUAAAGAAUAUCUCAGGGAAUAGCUUGGACCCAGAGGUGGCAGAAAUCUGGGAUGAGACUGAUAAAAUCACUAAUUGUAUGACCCUACAACAUGGGCCUUCACUCAACUCUUUUGGAUGAGGGGCUCCGGGAAUACCAAUUACAUAUUAUAGCUUUAGGCUCUAGAAGCAAAAAAUCUAGGUUAGUAGUAAUGUAUUUUUAAAUAAUUCACAAACAUACUUUAUAAAGGAGUAAAAUGGAGGGUAAAAAUAUUCCUGGUAAUAAAACACUGAGAAAAAUACUUUUCCAUUUUAUUAUCAUAAGCAUAGUAACUACUAUGUACAAAACAAACAUAGACCUUGCACUUUGCAAGCCUGAUUUCACUUCACAAGUAUUAUGCCCAGGAAGAAGACUCUAAAAUUUAGUGUCCUUUAGUUAGUCAGUGGUAAAGACUGGAUUCUGUCCCAACUAUGGCUGUUUCCAAAGUGAAUGCUCUUAACUGCUGGGUUAUACUGCCCUUCCUUCACGUUUGAGUGGAGUUUGGGACAAGACUUCUCCAAUUAAACCUCAGAAUGAUGCCUUGUCAUUAUUUCUCAGAACAGUUUGACUUCAAUUGACAAACAUUCAUUGGACACUUACUAUUUUAAUAAUUCACCAUCCCUUGCAAUCCAUUUCCUUAGUAAGAAAAAGUAUUGGAACUCCUUUUUAUCCACUGAAAGAAUGUUGGCUCCUGGUGGCUAGAGUUGCACAUCAUCUGUAUUGGGAAUAAUUGCAAAAAAAGAGGGACGAAGACGUCAUCAAGAGAAAAAACAAACAGAAUGGAGGACAUUAAAAAACGUGAUUUGUGCAAUGAGGUCUUGAGAGAGAGAAGGAAGGAAAGAUGGAGUGAUGGCAGCCUAGAUGUGGCACUGCAUGGCUGGGUUCCUCAGAGCUGGGCACCCCACAGGGACCUCAUGGCCCACACUCUAACAUGGGCUUACAUGGAGAAAGCUAGUAAAAUCUAGGAAAAUGGUGAAAAAUACUUACAAACAUUUUUAUGUCUCACAAAUCCACAAAUCUUUGCUUGUUAUGGCAUAACCUAGGGUGCAAAAGGAAGGACAUUUUCAUACAUAAGACCAAACAUUUAUUAAGUAUUUUGAUGAAGGACCAGAUGAAGGCAAAAUAAAUCACCUCUAGUCUGUUUAUAAUCUACAACGAAGUUAGGUGAAUUUCACAGCCAUCUUAAUGACACCACAGAAAUGAUUAUUGAGACUGUCUAAAGAGUGAUAAAAGGAAAUUAAUUUGCAAAACACAUUAUUACUCACCUAGCAUUCUUAGAAUGACAGUAUUGAUUUGUUUGUUGUAGGUAGCUUUAAUAUUGUAUUUAUUUUUUAUUCUGGUAAAAUAUAGAUAUCAUAUAAUUUGUCAUUUUAACAGUUUUUAAGUGUCAAGUUCAUUGCUAUUACUGUGUAACCAUCACCACCAUCCAGAUUUAGAAUUUUCCAUCUUCUCAAAGUGAAAUUCUGUACCCAUCAAACACUAACUCCUCAUUUCCACUCCCUUCAACCCCUGGUAACUUCCUUUUUGCUUUCUGUCUUUAUGAAUUUGACUAUUCUGGAUACCUCACAUAUAAUGUUUAUCCUUUUGUGUCUGGCUUGUUUCACUUAGCAUAAUGUCAAGGGUCAUUCAUGUGGUAGCACAUGUCAGAUUUUCCUUCCUUUUUAAGGCUGAAUAAUAUCCCAUUAUAUGUAUUUACCACAUUUUGUUUAUCCAUUCAUCUGUCAAUGGACAUUUGGAUUGUUUUCACGUUUUGGCUAUUGUAAAUGAAGCUGCUAAGAACAUUGGAGUACAAAUAUUGUUCAAGUCCUCACUUUGCAUUCUUUUGAGUAAACACUCAGAAGAGGAAUUGCUGGAUUUUAUUGUAACUCUGUGGUUAAAAUCUUGAGGAACGGCCACACUGUUUUGUACAGAACCUGAACCAUUUUACAUGUCUACCAGCAAAGCACAAGGGUUGCUAUCUUAUAUUCUAUUGACUGUGAAAACACUUACUUCCUAAGAGUUUGCACACCCCCUCCCCACUACAUUUUCUCCACAUAGAUUCAGUUCUAGCCUUUUUUACUGGUCCAUUCUCAAGCUGCCAAUAAAGACGUACCCAAGUCUGGGUAAUUUAUAAAGAAAAGGUUUAACUGACUCACAGUUCCACAGUGCUGAGGAGGCCUCAGGAAACUUACAAUCACGGUGGAAGGAAAAGCAAACACAUCCUUCUUCACAUGGUGUCAUGAGGGAGAAGUGCUGAGUGAAGCAGGGAAAAGCCCAUUAUAAACCCAUCAGAUCUUGUGAGAACUCACUUACUAUCACAAGAAGAGCGUGAGGGUAACCACCCCCAUGAUUAAAUUACCUCCCACUGAGUCCCUCCCACAACAUGUGGGGAUCAUGGGAAAUACAAUUCAAGAUGAGAAGUGGGUAGGGACACAGCCAAACCGUAUCACCCUUAAACUACAAACUCACCUUGGCAGGUUGCCGAGUGGAGGGAUAUUCUAAAUGGGAUUUCUGUGAGACGGUAGAAAAUAAUAACAGAGCAUCUACACUUUUUCAAACAUUUUUUUUACAAAUAUUAUUUCAUUUAAUCAUCACAAUACUGUGAAGCAGGCAUCAUUAUCAUCACGAUUCUCAAUUGACAGGUAGGUUAUUGGAGGCUGAUUGGCUUACGUGACUUCCAAUGUGCUAUGGAGGUGCCCAGGGUGUAAAGUUCAACAGAUCUAUCUUGCUCUGCCGCUCUGAGCAGGCCUUUAGCAAAUACUGUGAUAAUUUGCUAAGGUAAGUACCUGCUUGUCCCCUGCAGCUGGGGUCCAUGACUGAGCCCCCCUACUGUGACAGCUGACUCACGCCUGGGUGGCUCGGAGUGUCUCUGUUUGCUGUAUAUGCAGCUAUUUGUAUUCAAUUACUAAAAAUUUAGUUCGUCUGUGAAAUAAUUGUCCAUCUCUCCCCCCAAAAAAGGCCAACUGCUAGUGCAGAUGAUGAAAAUGAUGAAAAAGUGAGACAAGCUAAGGCACGUAGGUUUCUUCGCCAGAAUAUAAAAGUGAGUAAACUAAAGAGAGAAAUGAAUUCAGCAGUGGCUGAGAUCUGAGGAAUGAACAAGUUCACCAAUUUCUCUCUACAGAAAUGAGAAAAAGACAUUUGUGAAACUGUUGCAAAUGAUCCAGCCAGUGAAAAAAUUGCUCAUCAAGUGAGAGAUAAGACUUAAGUGAAAACUGAAAAGGGGGUUAAUGUGUGGAGUGAGAACAUGCACAGGAAACACACGACUUAUGAUGGAAACGGGGCUCGGCAGGAAGCCCAGAUCCUGUACAAACAUUUCCAUGAAGCAGCAGAUGGGAAGGCUCCAGAGUGGCUCCUCAACCAACCUUUGCUGUGAGUGCAAUUGACUGGAAAACUUGAAGAAGCAUUUCUUUUUUUUUUUGGAUGAUGCAAAGUAACGAGGAGAAAUGGCACCCGUUAACCUCUUGGUUGAUGUCCAGUUUUCUUCUGCACUCAGAAGGAUCCUCAAGAGGAACGUGGUAGACCAGAAGAAGAGUCAGGCACUGCUUUAGACACCUCUAUUGGGGCCAAAGUGUCUUCUGAACACAGGUAUCCAGGAGGAAAACGAACUCUAAGAUUAAAGGCAGCCAAAGACAGAGUCUUCUAGACUUUGGGGACAUGGUGGGCUUUAAGGGGGAGCCACGUUUGCUGAACCAUUCUUUAAACCCCCAGACAUUUAGGAGUAAGGCUAAAAACUUCAUAGCCAUGUAGUAACAAUGUAGGAAAACAAUGUUGGGAUCAUGGCACAUUUCCUUUUGCCCAGGACAACUAUGUUGUCCGAGUAGAAUUUGGAUUUCUAAAGGUCUCAAGACCCUUGUCUCCUGCUGUAGCUGGGGAUGUGGAUCCUAAAAACACCCUGGUAAGAGGUGGGUGGGCCAUGCUUCAAACACAGAUAAACUUGACUCCAAAAUCUAGGCCCUUUUGACUCUUCUCUAUCAACUUUUUCAGACGUUGGUCAGGCAAACUUAUUCCCCAAGACCAUGGAAUUGGGGCUAAGAUUUAUGCAAAGGUCUAGAGUUCUUUUCUGGUCCCUCAGCCCUUCCUUCCCUCUACUCUACUGCUGGGGAGUUGUGGGCAGUUUGCUAAAUGGCACCUCCAUCUAGGCACAUCAUAUAUAAUAGAGCAAACUCUCAUAAUGUGAUAAGCUCCAUUUUGAUUUUAUAUGUUUUAAAGAUAUUUUUCUAUCAAUACCGUUCACAAUUUAAUUACAAUAAUUAACAUAGUUUUCCAAUAUUAUUUUUGCAUUUGAUUAUAUGCCUAAAAAUGUUGCAGCUGUGUUUACCUAUAUGCCUUUUGUCUUAGGCUUCAUUUAAAAUGAGAAGUAAAUAUCAUUUUUAUAUAUAGCUUUCCACUUGCUUUGUGAACUAUUUUCAUAAUACCCCAAUUUAGCCACAAACAUCCUCUGGUGUGCUCAGAUCUCUCC
rnacentral:lncRNA from 10 species